AUUGAACGCUGGCGGCAGGCCUAACACAUGCAAGUCGAACGAGUGGCGGACGGGUGAGUAAUGUCUGGGAAACUGCGUGAGGGAGGGGGAUAACUACUGGACACGGUAGAUUAUACCGCAUACCCGGGUGUGCGCCCAGAUGGGAAUAGCUAGUAGGUGGGGUAGAGGCUCACCUAGGCGACGAUCCCUAGCGGGUCUGAGAGGAUGACCAGCCACACUGGAACUGAGACACGGCCCAGACUCCUACGGGAGGCAGCAGUGGGGAAUAUUGCACAAUGGGCGCAAGCCUGAUGCAGCCAUGCCGCGUGUAUGAAGAAGGCCUUCGGGUUGUAAAGUACUUUCAGCGGGGAGGCGUUACCCGCAGAAGAAGCACCGGCUAACUCCGUGCCAGCAGCCGCGGUAAUUC
rnacentral:rRNA from 1 species